UUGCACGCUGGCGGCAUGCCUUACACCUGCAAGUCGAACGGUAACAGGUCUUCGGAUGCUGACGAGUGGCGAACGGGUGAGUAAUACAUCGGAACGUGCCCAGACGUGGGGGAUAACGAGGCGAAAGCUUUGCUAAUACCGCAUACGAUCUAAGGAUGAAAGCAGGGGACCGCAAGGCCUUGUGCGUUUGGAGCGGCCGAUGGCAGAUUAGGUAGUUGGUGGGAUAAAAGCUUACCAAGCCGACGAUCUGUAGCUGGUCUGAGAGGACGACCAGCCACACUGGGACUGAGACACGGCCCAGACUCCUACGGGAGGCAGCAGUGGGGAAUUUUGGACAAUGGGCGAAAGCCUGAUCCAGCAAUGCCGCGUGCAGGAUGAAGGCCUUCGGGUUGUAAACUGCUUUUGUACGGAACGAAAAGGCUCUGGCUAAUACCUGGGGCACAUGACGGUACCGUAAGAAUAAGCACCGGCUAACUACGUG
rnacentral:rRNA from 1 species